CCCGGCCGCCCACUCGCGGGAGUCACCCCGGAGACCACAGUCCCGUGAAGACGCGGACACGCGAGGUGCUGCCUGUCCCUGAGAGUAGCACCAGAUGGGCUGGAGCCUCUCGUGGGGCCAGGAAGCACGGGACUGCCGAGGAGCCCCUGGUGGCCGAGGCCAAGUAGGGUGCGGUGGCUCGUGUGGCCACGACCUCGGGCUGGAGGAGAGGAAUAAAUAGCCCACGGUACAGUGGCUGCCACAGACAAGACCCCCUGAGGGGCUGGACUCGAGGCCCAAGCUCAAGGUACUCAAAGUACGGGUUGGACCUGUCGCUGUGGUAAGGCUCGAUGUCGUCCAGCUUGAUGGCGUCCACGAUGGCAGCCAGGGUCUGCUGGAUCACCUCCCGCGUCUGACGUGUGGACGUGUGCAUCUGCUGGGCCAGCUGCUGGCUGGAGCGCUGGAAGCGGCGUUUGCGCGGGUGCUGGGCCUGGGGGUCAUCGUCCUCGGAGCCGCGGCCCUUGGCCCUGGCGGCGGGCGCGGCCGCGGGCUCCUUCUCGGCGGGCGGCGAGCUCUGCUUGUGCUGGUUGGCCAGCAUCUGGGCCCGGGUCCUGGUCAUGCGCUGGGGGAUCUCCUCCACCUUGGGCGCCUUUGGGGCUUCGGCUGUCGGUUUGGCUUCCGGUUCGGGGGCUUCAGGCUGGACGCCGUCCGGAGGCCCCUCGAGCCCGGCACUGUCCUGGGGGCCGGCCCCAUCCACUGCGCGGGCCUGGGCCGGGCCGUCCCCGGGGGCGUCGGGAGCACUGUGGGGCGUGGCCGAGGGCUCUGGGCCCUCGGCCUGCUCGUCCCCACUCCCCGGUGGAUGCUGCUCCGAGGGGGCGGGCGUGGGCCCGGAGCCAGGGGCGGGGUCCUCGGGGGCCCUCCCCUCCGGCCCGGCCCCGGCCUCCACUGUGGCCUCGGGCAGCGCGGCCGGCUUCGGCUCCUCUGGGGGCUCAGGCGCAGGCUCGGUAGUGAGCCGGGCGGCCGCCUGGUCAGGAGGCAGCACCAGCUGUUCAUCAGCAGCUGCCACAGAGACGUCCCCGCCGCUCGGGAGCGCGGGGCUGUUGUCCAGAGGAACGAGAGGACUCUCUUCCACAGGCUCUGCUUCGACGUCGGAAACAUCCUUCGUCUGGAGAGGAAGCUCCGGCAGCGAGAAAGGUCCCAGGUCGAGGUCAUCCUCGGCGGCGGGGAAGGCACCGGGCCAGGGCACCGGCUCCACCUGGCCGAGGGCAGACAGGUUGUGACCACUUUCCAGGAAGUUAUUCUCCAGGGGACCCAGGGCCUCCACCUGAGUCAUGGCCGUCACACACGCAGGCUCGGGGGGCGCGUCGGGGGGUGCUUCCGGGACGGACUUGCAGUUACUGAAGAAGGACUCCAGCCUGGAGGGAGGGGCGAACGCGGCUGGCUCUUCUGAAGCAGAGAUGGCGGCCGGCACUGCUUCCCCGGCCUCGUCCUUGACUUCCAGGCCCGGCUCGGGGACCGACAGAGGGGGUCCUCCUGAUGUCCACGGACACGGAGCGGUAAAGGUUCGUGCACAGCGGCCUCGUAGGUGUCUGGCCCGGGGUUUCUGAAACCCCGCUCGCGGCCACGGAGAACCUGUCGAAGAAGGAGGCAAGUGCUUGUCGUCCAGGGGAGGGACUCUGUCCUGCUCGUCGUCCUCGUCAAACUCGUACUCGUCCUUGACGGGCGUCGCGGUUUUCUGGGGCUCCGGAGUCUUAGCCUUGUGCUUCAGGCCCUUCUCAAACUCGGAGUCCGUGUUAUUGCCGUCGACUGAGCUGGAAGAGAGUAAGAUUACCUGUCGCUAAUCCGUGCCCAGGACCCACUGAACGCAAGGACAGCAGACCUCACUUUAGUACGCUUCAGAUGCCGUGUUGUCUACAGACUAAAGGCCACAUGGCGCAGCAUGCAGGAUCUUAGUUCUCUAACCAGGGAUUGAACCCGUGUCCCCUGCAGUAGAAGCGUGGAGUCUUAACCACUGGACUGCCAGAGAAGUCCCGCAAUAAUGUAUUUCUUAACGAAGGAGUGCAAAUUGUUUAUAGAUACUGCUAUUGCACACCUAACGGCAACUGUCCAGUGCAGACAACGUUCAGAUGCACCAGGAAACCAAAGAAUUCUGUGUGACUCGCUCCAUCUCGAUCCUCGCUUCACUCGGGUGGCCGGGGCGGAACCCACGGCCUCCCCCAGGUGCCUGGCAAACAGGACGGUGGCCUCCACUUCAGCCUGGGCUGCACGCCCAGCUGUACCCGGGUCUGCAUGGCGGGAGCAGGACACCGCUUCCUGGGCAGGAGCUCCCCUGCCCUGUGGCAAAUCACCACGGUGUUGGACAAUUCUGGGGCCAGAGUCAGGGCUCUGGUCCCGUGUCCUUGCUGUCUGCCAGCCGAGGAACACCCCAACUGCUUGAGGCCACCACGUUCCCUGGCUACGGCCCUUCCCUCUGAGACCAGCAACGCAGGUGAAGUCCCCUCACGCUGUCCUCCCUCCGGCCGAGAAAGGGUCUCUGCCGUAUGCAGCCCUGAAGGCCACCAGCCCGCCCGGAGAGUCCAGGGUCAUCUCCCAUCUCCUGGCCCUCAGCCUUCUCCUCUCUGCAGAGCCCACACCUGAGGCCACGUGUCCAUGUCUCUGACUGCUCCCUAAUAACAAGCUUAAAGACAAUUAGAAAAGCGGAGAUUCAGGAGGCAGCCCUCUCCCUCCCAGCUCCAUCACCUACCAGCCAGCCAGCCGCAUUUCACCCAUGCCCCAUACCUGCCCACUGUGCCGGGUAUCUUUUUUUUUAAUUUUUGGCUGUGUCGUGUCUUAGCUGUGGCGUGCAGGACCUUUCA